CCAAUAGCGUAUAUUAAAGUUGUUGCAGUUAAAAAGCUCGUAGUUGAAUUUCGGGAUUGACGUGACGGUCGUGCCUUAAGGGGUAUGAACUGUCGCCGUUGAUUUCUCACCUUCUGGAGAAGCUCGAUGUCCUUAAUUGGAUGUCUUGUGGAACCAGGAACUUUACCUUGAAAAAAUUAGGGUGUUUAAAGCAGGCAUUUUGCUCGAAUACAUUAGCAUGGAAUAAUAGAAUAGGAAGGCAUGGUUCUAUUUUGUUGGUUUCUAGGAUCACCGUAAUGAUUAAUAGGGAUAGUUGGGUGCAUUAGUAUUCAAUUGUCAGAGGUGAAAUUCUUGGUUUUAUUGAAGACUAACUACUGCGAAAGCAUUUGCCAAGGAUGUUUUCAUUAAUCAAGAACGAAAGUUAGGGGAUCGAAGACGAUCAGAUACCGUCGUAGUCUUAACCAUAAACUAUGCCGACUAGGAAUCAGACGAUGUUAAUUUUUUAAUGACUCGUUUGGCACCUUACG
rnacentral:rRNA from 1 species